AGUGAACGCUGGCGGUAGGCCUAACACAUGCAAGUCGAACGGCCGCACAGUAAGAGCUUGCUCUUACGGGUGGCGAGUGGCGGACGGGUGAGGAAUACAUCGGAAUCUACUUUUUCGUGGGGGAUAACGUAGGGAAACUUACGCUAACACCGCAUACGACCUACGGGUGAAAGCAGGGGAUCUUCGGACCUUGCGCGAUUGAUUGAGCCGAUGUCGGAUUAGCUAGUUGGCUGGGUAAAGGCCCACCAAGGCGACGAUCCGUAGCUGGUCUGAGAGGAUGAUCAGCCACACUGGAACUGAGACACGGUCCAGACUCCUACGGGAGGCAGCAGUAGGGAAUAUUGGACAAUGGGCGCAAGCCUGAUCCAGCCAUACCGCGUGAGUGAAGAAGGCCUUCGGGUUGUAAAGCCCUUUUGUUGGGAAAGAAAAGCAGCAGGUUAAUACCCCGCUGUUCUGACGGUACCCAAAGAAUAAGCACCGGCUAACUUCGUG
rnacentral:rRNA from 1 species